UGAGGAGAACACACUCUCCGUGGACUGC
rnacentral:piRNA from 1 species